rnacentral:tRNA from 1 species
GGUGCCAUGGUAGAGUGGUUAUACAGCGGUCUGCAACACCGUAUACAGCGGUUCGAACCCGCUUGGCACCUCCA